rnacentral:rRNA from 1 species
UACGUAGGUGGCAAGCGUUGUCCGGAUUUAUUGGGUUUAAAGGGUGCGUAGGCGGUCCUAUAAGUCAGUUGUGAAAUACGGCAGCCUAACUGUCGAGGUGCAAUUGAUACUGCAGGACUUGAGUACAGACGAGGUAGGCGGAAUUGACGGUGUAGCGGUGAAAUGCUUAGAUAUCGUCAAGAACACCGAUAGCGAAGGCAGCUUACUAGACUGUAACUGACGCUGAUGCACGAAAGUGUGGGGAUCAAACAGG